UACGAAGGGGGCUAGCGUUGUCCGGAAUCAUUGGGCGUAAAGAGCGUGUAGGCGGCCCGGUAAGUCCGCUGUGAAAGUCCAGGGCUCAACCCUGGAAUGCCGGUGGAAACUGUCGGGCUAGAGUCCGGAAGAGGCGAGUGGAAUUCCUGGUGUAGCGGUGAAAUGCGCAGAUAUCAGGAGGAACACCAAUGGCGAAGGCAGCUCGCUGGGACGGUACUGACGCUGAGACGCGAAAGCGUGGGGAGCAAACAGG
rnacentral:rRNA from 1 species